GACGAACGCUGGCGGCGUGCCUAAUACAUGCAAGUCGAGCGCAGGAAACUGACGGAACUCUUCGGAGGGAAGGCAGUGGAAUGAGCGGCGGACGGGUGAGUAACACGUAAGGAACCUGCCUCAAGGGUUGGGAUAACUCCGAGAAAUCGGAGCUAAUACCGGAUAGUUCAACGGACCGCAUGGUCCGCUGAUGAAAGGCGCUUCGGCGUCACCUUGAGAUGGCCUUGCGGUGCAUUAGCUAGUUGGUGGGGUAACGGCCCACCAAGGCGACGAUGCAUAGCCGACCUGAGAGGGUGAUCGGCCAAACUGGGGCUGAGACACGGCCCAGACUCCGACGGGAGGCAGCAGUAGGGAAUCUUCCACAAUGGACGAAAGUCUGAUGGAGCAACGCCGCGUGAGUGAUGAAGGUUUUCGGAUCGUAAAACUCUGUUGUAAGGGAAGAGCACGUACGAGAGGAAAUGCUCGUACCUUGACGGUACCUUACGAGAAAGCCACGGCUAACUACGUGCCAGCCGCCGCCGUAACAC
rnacentral:rRNA from 1 species